AGAGUUUGAUCAUGGCUCAGAUUGAACGCUGGCGGCAUGCCUUACACAUGCAAGUCGAACGGCAGCAUGAUCUAGCUUGCUAGAUUGAUGGCGAGUGGCGAACGGGUGAGUAAUACAUCGGAACGUGCCCUGUAGUGGGGGAUAACUAGUCGAAAGAUUAGCUAAUACCGCAUACGACCUGAGGGUGAAAGUGGGGGACCGCAAGGCCUCAUGCUAUAGGAGCGGCCGAUGUCUGAUUAGCUAGUUGGUGAGGUAAAGGCUCACCAAGGCGACGAUCAGUAGCUGGUCUGAGAGGACGAUCAGCCACACUGGGACUGAGACACGGCCCAGACUCCUACGGGAGGCAGCAGUGGGGAAUUUUGGACAAUGGGCGAAAGCCUGAUCCAGCAAUGGCCGCGUGUGUGAAGAAGGCCUUCGGGUUGUAAAGCACUUUUGUCCGGAAAGAAAUGGCUCUGGUUAAUACCUGGGGUCGAUGACGGUACCGGAAGAAUAAGGACCGGCUAACUACGUGCCAGCAGCCGCGGUAAUACGUAGGGUCCAAGCGUUAAUCGGAAUUACUGGGCGUAAAGCGUGCGCAGGCGGUUGUGCAAGACCGAUGUGAAAUCCCCGAGCUUAACUUGGGAAUUGCAUUGGUGACUGCACGGCUAGAGUGUGUCAGAGGGGGGUAGAAUUCCACGUGUAGCAGUGAAAUGCGUAGAGAUGUGGAGGAAUACCGAUGGCGAAGGCAGCCCC
rnacentral:rRNA from 1 species